rfam:Gossypium arboreum cultivar AKA8401 contig_3681_7, whole genome shotgun sequence.
UGUUAAAAUUUCAUCCAUUUCUACUGUUAAAAACUAGCGUGACUAAUAGAAUAAUCAAACAGUUACACAUGGUGUCAAGUGAUGUGCCAUAUUUAUGAUGUACAAUAAUUAGUUUUUAACAGUAAAAAUAGAUAGAAUUUUUAACA